rnacentral:rRNA from 1 species
AGAUUGAACGCUGGCGGCAGGCCUAACACAUGCAAGUCGAGCGGUAGAGAGGUGCUUGCAUCUCUUGAGAGCGGCGGACGGGUGAGUAAUGCCUAGGAAUCUGCCUAGUGGGUGGGGGAUAACGGUUCGGAAACGGACGCUAAUACCGCAUACCGUCCUACGGGAGAAAGGCGGGGGACCUUCGGGCCUCGCGCCAUUAGAUGAGCCUAGGUCGGAUUAGCUUAGUUGGUGAGGUAAUGGCUCACCGAAGGCGACGAUCCGUAACUGGUCUGAGGAGGAUGAUCAGUCACACUGAACUGAACGACACGGUCCAGACUCCGUACGGGAGGCAGUCAGGUAGGGGAAUAGUUAGGAACAAGUGGGACGAAAGCCUAGAUCCAGCCAGUCGCCGCGUGCGUGAAGGACGUCGUUACGG